rnacentral:misc_RNA from 1 species
CGAAUCAAGGGAAGCGUGCCGGUGCAGGCAAGAGACCACCGUAAGCGUCGUUGCAACCAAUUAAGCGCCGAUUCCAAUCAGCGCGACUACGCCCUCGCUGCCUAAGUAGCGACUGCGUGUCUGUCAGACCGGGAGCGCCCUCGGCCCGGACCCUGGCAUCAGCUAGAGGGACCCACCCACGGGUUCGGUCGCGGGACCUGUGGGGACACCAAACAGCGACUGGGAUUGUCAUCUCGGCUCGUCUGCGUGACCGAGAGAUCCGAGUAGAGGCAUAGCGGACUGCGCACGGAGAAGUCUUGAGGGAAUGCC